rnacentral:rRNA from 1 species
AACCUACCUAUAAGACUGGGAUAACUUCGGGAAACCGGAGCUAAUACCGGAUAACAUUUGGAACCGCAUGGUUCUAAAGUGAAAGAUGGUUUUGCUAUCACUUAUAGAUGGACCCGCGCCGUAUUAGCUAGUUGGUAAGGUAACGGCUUACCAAGGCGACGAUACGUAGCCGACCUGAGAGGGUGAUCGGCCACACUGGAACUGAGACACGGUCCAGACUCCUACGGGAGGCAGCAGUAGGGAAUCUUCCGCAAUGGGCGAAAGCCUGACGGAGCAACGCCGCGUGAGUGAUGAAGGGUUUCGGCUCGUAAAACUCUGUUAUUAGGGAAGAACAAAUGUGUAAGUAACUGUGCACGUCUUGACGGUACCUAAUCAGAAAGCCACGGCUAACUACGUG